CAGCCGCCACGGUAAUACGUAGGGGGCGAGCGUUGUCCGAAGUUACUGGGCGUAAAGCGCGCGUAGGCGGUUUUUUAAGUCUGAUGUGAAAGCCCACGGCUCAACCGUGGAGGGUCAUUGGAAACUGGAAAACUUGAGUGCAGAAGGGGAAAGUGGAAUUCCAUGUGUAGCGGUGAAAUGCGCAGAGAUAUGGGGGAACACCAGUGGCGAAGGCGACUUUCUGGUCUGUAACUGACGCUGAUGUGCGAAAGCGUGGGGAUCAAACAGGAUUAGAUACCCCCGUAGUCCCUGUCUCUUAUAC
rnacentral:rRNA from 1 species